rnacentral:rRNA from 1 species
AUUGAACGCUGGCGGAAUGCUUUACACAUGCAAGUCGAGCGGCAGCGCGGGGCAACCCUGGCGGCGAGCGGCGAACGGGUGAGUAAUACAUCGGAACGUACCCAGUAAUGGGGGAUAACUAUCCGAAAGGAUAGCUAAUACCGCAUACGCCCUGAGGGGGAAAGCGGGGGAUCGUAAGACCUCGCGUUAUUGGAGCGGCCGAUGUCGGAUUAGCUAGUUGGUGAGGUAAGGGCUCACCAAGGCGACGAUCCGUAGCUGGUCUGAGAGGAUGAUCAGCCACACUGGAACUGAGACACGGUCCAGACUCCUACGGGAGGCAGCAGUGGGGAAUUUUGGACAAUGGGGGCAACCCUGAUCCAGCCAUUCCGCGUGAGUGAAGAAGGCCUUCGGGUUGUAAAGCUCUUUCGGCAGGAACGAAACGGUCUUUUCUAAUACAAGAGGCUAAUGACGGUACCUGAAGAAGAAGCACCGGCUAACUCCGUGCCAGCAGCCGCCGUAAGAC